rnacentral:rRNA from 1 species
AGAACGAACGCUGGCGGCAGGCUUAACACAUGCAAGUCGAACGCCCCGCAAGGGGAGUGGCAGACGGGUGAGUAACGCGUGGGAAUCUACCCAGUUCUACGGAAUAACACAGGGAAACUUGUGCUAAUACCGUAUACGCCCUACGGGGGAAAGAUUUAUCGGGAUUGGAUGAGCCCGCGUUGGAUUAGCUAGUUGGUGGGGUAAUGGCCUACCAAGGCGACGAUCCAUAGCUGGUCUGAGAGGAUGAUCAGCCACACUGGGACUGAGACACGGCCCAGACUCCUACGGGAGGCAGCAGUGGGGAAUAUUGGACAAUGGGCGAAAGCCUGAUCCAGCCAUGCCGCGUGAGUGAUGAAGGCCUUAGGGUUGUAAAGCUCUUUCAGUGGGGAAGAUAAUGACGGUACCACAGAAGAAGCCCGGCUAACUUCGUGCCAGCAGCCGC